rnacentral:rRNA from 3 species
AAAUAAAGUGAGUUUGAUCCUGGCUCAGAG